AACGAACGCUGGCGGCAUGCCUAACACAUGCAAGUCGAACGAGACCUUCGGGUCUAGUGGCGCACGGGUGCGUAACGCGUGGGAACCUGCCCUUAGGUUCGGAAUAACUCCCCGAAAGGGGUGCUAAUACCGGAUAAUGUCUUCGGACCAAAGAUUUAUCGCCUUUGGAUGGGCCCGCGUUGGAUUAGCUAGUUGGUAGGGUAAAAGCCUACCAAGGCGACGAUCCAUAGCUGGUGUGAGAGGAUGCUCAGCCAGACUGGGACUGAGACACGGCCCAGACUCCGACGGGAAGCAGCAGUGGGGAAUAUUGGAGAAGGGGCGAAAGCCUGAUACAGCAAUGCCGCGUGAGUGAUGAAGGGCUUAGGGUUGUAAAGCUCUUUUACCCGGGAUGAUAAUGACAGUACCGGGAGAAUAAGCACCGGCUAACUCCGUG
rnacentral:rRNA from 1 species